rnacentral:rRNA from 1 species
AUUGAACGCUGGCGGCAGGCUUAACACAUGCAAGUCGAGCGGAGAUGAGGUGCUUGCACCUUAUCUUAGCGGCGGACGGGUGAGUAAUGCUUAGGAAUCUGCCUAUUAGUGGGGGACAACAUUCCGAAAGGAAUGCUAAUACCGCAUACGUCCUACGGGAGAAAGCAGGGGAUGUUCGGACCUUGCGCUAAUAGAUGAGCCUAAGUCGGAUUCUCGAGUUGGUGGGGUAAAGGCCUACCAAGGCGACGAUCUGUAGCGGGUCUGAGAGGAUGAUCCGCCACACUGGGACCGAGACACGGCCGAGACUCCUACGGGAGGCAGCAGUGGGGAAUAUUGGACAAUGGGGGGAAACCUGAUCCAGCCAUGCCGCGUGUGUGAAGAAGGCCUUAUGGUUGUAAAGCACUUUAAGCGAGGAGGAGGCUACUGAGACUAAUACUCUUGGAUAGUGGACGUUACUCGCAGAAUAAGCACCGGCUAACUCUGUGCCAGCAGCCGCGGUAAUAC